CUGGGAUGUUCGUCUGUGAUCUGCCAGGCCCAUCAGUGGAGAAGAGGAGAAGGCUAACUGGGAGCCUGUACUGGGUUGUAAAUCUGUCCUGGUUGGGAGGCGUUCGUGGGAUGGCCUCACUUCUCCUGCAGCCCAUGGUAGGGCCUGAAGUCACAGCUGGAGCUGCAGACUUAAAGGAGCGGACUUGAUUGUUUCAGAGUCGCAAGGGGUGAUCGAGCCUGGUCAAGUCGCCAUCUCAGCGCAGAGCCAAACUAUAACCUGCUACCCAAAGAUGUUCAACAAAUCUUUUCAACUAAAGAUGAGAAAUACAAACUUUAGGAAAUGUUUUAACUUAAAACACGUGUAUGCACGUACAACACUUAAAAUGUUUAGUAUAUCAGAAUGUGGAAUUGAAUUAUGGAAUGAAUUAAGCAAAUAAGUAAAAACAAUGUACUAAUAUGACCCAACUUAGGAAACUGUUCAAACUCAAAGUGUUUGCAAAGUACAAAGAA